CCCUUAGAUGUCCUGGGCCGCACGCGCGCUACACUGACAUGUUCAACAAGCCUCCUAGUUCGACAGGAUUUGGGAAAUCUUUGAACGCAUGUCGUGAUAGGGAUAGAUCAUUGCAAUUAUUGAUCUUGAACGAGGAAUUCCUAGUAAACGCGAGUCAUCAGCUCGCAUUGAUUACGUCCCUGCCCUUUGUACACACCGCCCGUCGCACCUACCGAUUGAAUGUUUCGGUGAAGAUUCCGGAUAGGACUUUUUUGAUCUAUUUCAAUUCUGUCUUAAAAGCUAUCUAAACCUCAACAUUUAGAGGAAGGUGAAGUCGUAACA
rnacentral:rRNA from 1 species